rfam:Theobroma cacao cultivar Matina 1-6 chromosome 4, whole genome shotgun sequence.
UUGAAAAUUUGAUGUUGGCACGGUUCAAUCGGAUCAAAUCUCUCAGUGGCUGAGUCCUUUAGUCUGAUUGAGCCGUGCCAAUAUCACAUUCAGUCAC